AACGCACAUUGCGCCCCUUGGUAUUCCGAGGGGCAUGCCUGUUCGAGCGUCAUUUCACCACUCAAGCCUCGCUUGGUAUUGGGCGCCGCGGUGUUCCGCGCGCCUCAAAGUCUCCGGCUGAGCUGUCCGUCUCUAAGCGUUGUGAUUUCAUUAAUCGCUUCGGAGCGCGGGCCGUCGCGGCCGUUAAAUCUUUCACAAGGUUGACCUCGGAUCAGGUAGGGAUACCCGCUGAACUUAA
rnacentral:misc_RNA from 1 species